rnacentral:rRNA from 1 species
AAUAGAUACCCGGGUAGUCCACGCCGUAAACGAUGAGUGCUAAGUGUUAGAGGGUUUCCGCCCUUUAGUGCUGCAGCUAACGCAUUAAGCACUCCGCCUGGGGAGUACGGUCGCAAGACUGAAACUCAAAGGAAUUGACGGGGGCCCGCACAAGCGGUGGAGCAUGUGGUUUAAUUCGAAGCAACGCGAAGAACCUUACCAGGUCUUGACAUCCUCUGACAACUCUAGAGAUAGAGCGUUCCCCCUUCGGGGGACAGAGUGACAGGUGGUGCAUGGUUGUCGUCAGCUCGUGUCGUGAGAUGUUGGGUUAAGUCCCGCAACGAGCGCAACCCUUGAUCUUAGUUGCCAGCAUUCAGUUGGGCACUCUAAGGUGACUGCCGGUGACAAACCGGAGGAAGGUGGGGAUGACGUCAAAUCAUCAUGCCCCUUAUGACCUGGGCUACACACGUGCUACAAUGGAUGGUACAAAGGGCUGCAAGACCGCGGGGUCAAGCCAAUCCCAUAAAACCAUUCUCAGUUCGGAUUGCAGG